UCGCAGUGGGGGUUUAGUCUUUAAAAAG
rnacentral:sRNA from 1 species